AAGUCGUAACAAGGUUUCCGUAGGUGAACCUGCGGAAGGAUCAUUACCGAGUUCUCGGGCUUCGGCUCGAAUCUCCCACCCUUUGUGAACAUACCUCUGUUGCUUUGGCGGCUCUUUGCCGCGAGGUGGCCCCCGCGGGCCCCCCGCGCGCUUUCCGCCAGAGGACCUUCAAACUCCAGUCAGUAAACGUCGACGUCUGAUAAACAAGUUAAUAAACUAAAACUUUCAACAACGGAUCUCUUGGUUCUG
rnacentral:misc_RNA from 1 species